GUUCCAUUGCAUUGGUAAAUUGUUUCCUUUUGGAUGACUUAACAACAGUUCAUAUAUUCGUGAGUCCUAACGGAUCUGACACCAAUAGAGGACGAGAUAUCUGGAGUCCUUUGCGUACGAUAGAGAAAGCACUUUUGCAAAUCAAUGAACCUGCAACAAAGAAUAAAGAUGUUAUAAUUGAAUUAAGGUCAGGAUAUUACGAGUUGCAGUCUACUUUGAAAAUUAAACACACAGGACCUAGGCGACUGACAAUUAGAGCUUCUCAUGAUCAAGAUGUCCAUAUUACCGGAGGCAAACGGAUAUCGUCAUCAGAGUUUAAAAGAGUUACAGAUUCAAUGGCUUGGCAAAGAUUACCUUCUACGUCCAGGAAUAAAGUAACUUAUAACUUAGUAAUACGAUGAAUGAAGGAAAUGUGAUUUAAAUGAACUGAAAUGAGUUUUGGAGUCAUUGUUAAACUAAUAUAAUGAUGAAUGCAUUGAAUCUUAAACUGCUUGUAAACUAGUUUAACCCUCCACAUUUGUAUGGGCGUGUCCCAUGUCAGGAGCUAGUCAAUAGUUGUCGUACAUUUUAUUUUAAUGUUUUUUCGUUAUUUUCAGAAUUGGGUGUGAAUAUAAGAUCUGUGUUUGCUUCAGUUAAAUUCAUUUACUAUAUGUAUAGACUAGGGACGAUU